UCCACCCUCUUCCUGUGGCCUUCUAUCCCCGGGCCCUCCCUUUCCCUCAUACUUCCCACUCCCCCUUUCACACACCACACCCGCUCCCGGAGCUGCCGGAGGCGCAGGGCCGAGGCACCCCUCCCGGCGCCCGCCCAGAGGAGUCUCGGGAGGUCACUACCUGGCCGCGCUAGGCCCUUCCCACCGGCCCCGGCGGCCGAACCCUCGCCUAGACCCAGGGCCAGGGCCAGCUGCUGCCGGCGCUCGACCGUCCCCGGAGCCACCCGGGCCUGGAGCAGCUGGCUGUCACGCGGGGCCGCUCAGUCCUCGGCAGCAGGAAAAGGACCGGGCUCUCGGUUCCGCGGGUGAGUUUCCAGGAAGCCUUCAAGAUCCAGUUCAAUCUACACCCAUCUGAUGAUGCCUUCCUAACAGAAGUCUUCCCUGGACAGAGUUCCCUCCUCCAUCCUCUGGGCUCUCACACCUUCAACUACGAGGCAUGUGAGAAAAGAGAGGAGGACUUCCCUGGUGGCACAGUAGUUAAUAAUCCACCUGCCAAUGCAGGAGACAUGGGUUCGAUCCCUGGUCCAGGAAGAUCCCACAUGCCACGGAGCAACUAAGCCCAUUCACCACAACUACUGAGCCCGCAUGCCACAACUACUGAAGCCCGUGCACCUAGAGCCCGUGCUCCACAACACGAGAAGCCACCGCAAUGAGAAGCUCCCGCACCGCAACAAAGAGUAGCCCCACCCGCUGCAACUAGAGAAAGCCUGCACACAGCAACGAAGACCCAACACAGCCAAACAUAAAUUAAUUGAUUAAUUAUUUUUAAAAAAAGAGGGGAAAUGCUUCUAGAAGUCCUCUCAGGCAGGUCACACAGACCCAAGCUCCCAGUGAGGCUUAUGAACCUCAGGCUGCUUUGAUCAGUUGCAGCAUGUUCACCUCUCUCAAAGGGCAGGUGAUAUCGGCGUGGCUUUCCACUGUCUUUUUGAGCAGUAGGUAGUAGCUUGGUGCUUCCCAAGCAGUAAACAUUAGUGACAGCUUCCAUAUUGCCUGAGAAAAUCUGCAUUCCGUAAAGCAGGUAAGCCAUCUCAUCUUCCAUACCAUCAAUCAGACUAUAGCUCAGAGCCACUGACAAAGGAUUCACAACCACUUGUAUUUUGUGCCACUUCUCACUCAUCAUUAUUCCUUAGAAUUUUAAGUGACAGGUUUCCACCACUAAGUUGGAAUGUUUCUUAAAGGAAGUGAAAGCAGUGAUAUUGAAUACAAGGAUGUUUAAAUUCCAAACCCUCGUGAGAAUUUUAUAACUAUGAAAUUUUAAAUUCCCCCUGCAUCUAGUGCUAUUGGAAAUGAUAACAAACACUUUAGAAGUCUGUUAUGGACUGAGUGUUUGUGUUCCCCGCCCCCACCAAAUUCAUAUGUUGAAGCCCUGAUCUCCAACGUGAUAGUAUCUGUAGGUGGGGCCUUUGGGAGGUAAUUAUGUAUGAGAGUAGAAACCCUCAUGAAUGGGAUUAGUGCCCUUAUAAGAGGAGACAUGAGGGAGAUGAUCUCCCUCUCUCUCUGCUGUGUGAAGAUACAGUGAGAAGGUGGUCAUCUACAAACCAGAAAGAGGGCCCUAACCAGAACCUGACCUUGCUGACACCCUGAUGCAGCCUCCAGAGCCAUGAGAAAUAAAUUUCUAUGUUAAA